AUGAGUGGGUCAGAGAGCAGGGACCCUCCCCCACGGGGCACGGAGAGAGAGCAGGCUCAGCCACAAGAUGUAAGAGUUUGGGAAGCUUUGACUGCAGGGCAAGAGAGAGGAAUGUAUUCUGGGAAUGUAGGAUUUCUUCCUUUGGACCUGCUUCCAGUGGAAAUCCCCGUGUACGUCAUGUCUCCCAUCUGUCUGCUGAAACACAAAGAUAAAUGCUGUGACAAGAGAGAGAGGGAGAGGUUUUUAAAACACCCAAGGUGCUUGAAAGCAGAGAAUUUCGUAGGGCUUAAGAAAGGCUUUUUUCUCUCUCAGAUUCAUUUCUCCAGGGAGUGUUAACUGCCUCCAGACUUCAGAUCACCUUUGAGAGACCAGGAUGUAGCAACUGGUAAAACCAUGUUCAGUCUAUGAAGCAUCCCAGAAGCACCAAGAGGCCAAUCCCUCAAAAGAAGACAUGCAAAGGACGGUUAUGAAGUGCAGGGCAGGGAAAAGACAGCAAACGCAUUCCCCUGCAAAGAGCUGUGUGAGGAUCACAGGUGUAACAUACAAGCUUUGGGCUGGCUCCUAAGAAAGUCGAAGUCUGAGUGCUUCUCAAAUACAGAAGCUGUGUUCCGUGCAGCAUGGCCCUAAAGCAUCUCUGUGUUAUCAGGUCCUGAGCUGGGCUCACCGAUUGUCUAAUCAUUCUUGCAUGGCUCCUUCUACUCUCAUGCUUCCAUUUGCUGCAGCCAGGAAUCAUGACCCUGAUUGUUUCAGGCUGUUUCUUAAACAUUCAUGUGUUUCCCUUAACUGGAAAUAUUACUUGGUGCAGCCGCCUCCCUUCUGGGACUGGAAAAGAAGAUAUUUUGUAAGCUCAUCUCAUCCUCUGAAACACACAGGGGGGCUGCUUUUCUUUGACCCUUCCCACACACUCUGUCCUCCUCCUUGAAUGCACAAACACUUCCUCUGAGUCCUACGCUCACCCCCAGAGUGAUAAAGAAUGGAAACCUAGCUCAAGAUGAGUUUCCCCACUGUGAUGAGUCUGUUGAAUAUUAAACACAAGACAUAUUUAUUCAGUAUUCAAGCUUAGGAGCAGAGACUGGCCCCUGCCUCUGAAAGCAUCUGAAUCCAAAGGCAGUAGAAAUGUAUAUUUCAACUGACCAAGAGUCAAGUUCUGAGUUGCUAUAAGGUAACUCCUCUUGCAAAGCACACUGUGGGUGAGAGCCCGGGCAAAGCCAGCUUGGCUGUUCCAGGAGCCAGGUGGCUGGUGGCCAAGCCUCUGGUAAAGCUCCAGGGAGCCAGCCCAGAGCAAGGGGGCCCAGCCUGGGAGGGGUCGGGCACCACUUUCUGGGAAUUCUUCACAGAUCUCCCCGGCAUCCUCAGACCAGCUGCUGGAGUAUGUUCAUACACCCAGACACUGGGGGGUUCAUUCUGUGUUUGGUUGACAUUCAUCUCCGUGACAAGGUCCCAUCACCCAGGUCCAGUGGAGUAAACCCAGGCAGAGCCUCACCCUGGGAACUGCCAGCCCGUGAUUUCAGUGUCCCUACCAGCCAACAGGAAGCUGGUGGAAAGCUCUGCUCCCUUCCAAGAUGCUAAUCAUUUUUCUUCUUUCUUGGGGGAUGUGGAGCGGUGAAAAUGAACUCCUCUCCACAAGUGUCGCUUCACGUGGCUGCAUCCUGGGGACCUUUGGAGGACGUUUGGCUCAGACACCACAUUGUCUGUUUUUCUCUUCUGCCCCCUCCCCUGCUUUUUAAACCAAUAUUCAUUACUUUCCUUCUCCGUUUCCUUUCAUUUUUGAGGGUACAUUAUGCAAACAUUACAAAAGCAUUAAAGGAAUUCUAAGUUAAAGACAAGAAAAACCACCCCCGGUCCUACCACCACCACCAGCAGCUAAGAUGUCUUCAGUUUUUCGUCACCGCCUUCUCCUCAGAGCCACACGAAUAUGUAACUUUACCGGCAUAAUUAUAGCAGAGAGACCUUUUGCAUCCAUUUUUUUUUUUAACUGAACAUUCUAUGGUAAGACGUUUUCCAUGUCAUCACAUAGCAUUUGCGUUUAUCUUUCUACUCUUCACUUGCUCAUCCCACUGGGUGAAUAUAAUGUACAUAAUUGAUGUAACCAUUUUCCUACACUUAAUCAAUAGGAAUGGCUUCCAGCUUCUUGCUGCUAUAAGAAAGCACUAUGUUUUCUCCCUUUGGGAUUAUUUCCUUGUGAUAACUUCCUGAGUUUCUUUUCUAUUUUUGCUUUGGAUCCAGAGGUAAAUGCUAUCUUCCUGUUUGCAAGGUCUUCCAUGGCCUGGGAGUCCGGGUGGGAACCUCCUCCCCAGAUGUCCUGGGCCGUGGGAGACGGACAGAGUGGGAGAGGGGGCGCAGGCCUUUAUAAGGAAGUGGAGAAAACUCAGGGCGCAACUAAUUAGAAAGUGCCGUGAAGCAAGGCAGAGUUUUAUGACUCUCCUAGAAUUGAUGAUGGUUUCUGAGCAGGCCUGCCUGUUCCCUCGCAGGUGUGUGCAGCCUUCAGGCCCAUAUGGUUUUCGGCUGCACUGGGGCUCAUGCUUUGUUCAGCCCAUGAUCCUGUAACUGAAUAUCAGUUAAUAACUUUUCAUAAUAACGUAGCUUGGAUCAGCUUCGAGGCCCAGAGCUCUGUCUUUUCCAGACUCCUGCUGCCUCUGUGGCACACCUGGAGGACAGGCAGGCCCCUGGGACAUCCCCAGGGCAACAGCCACAGCCCAGCGUGCAGAGGCCCGGCUGUAAGUGGAGAGGCCAGGGUACAGAGCUCACCUUCAGCAGUAACUGGUCUCCCUUGGGCUCUGCCAGGAGGAUUGGGGUCCUGAGACUUAAAAACACAGGCAGGGGGCAGAACUUUAGACUGAAAAAUAUUUUAUGGCAGUUUCCCAUACACAGGCAGUGUCUGGCUCCUGGGAGGUGAUUUACAGGCACUUCUGAGAGGCCAGAGGUCACUUGGGAUCUUGAGAAUGGCUGGGGCAGCCCUGGAACCAAGGCAUUCUCCAUUACCACAUCCCCCCCUCAGCUGUGGCAUUUCCUCCACUUUCAUCCUCCCCAUCCACCCUCACCUCCUGCUUAAAGGGGUCCUGCCGCCUUUCCUGCUGUCCCCUUUUCCUGGUGGCCAUGACCAAAGGAAAAAAUGGAUGGGAGACAGCCGUGGCGGCUGGGGUCUGCUGCCCCACCUGACCGCUGAGCUUCACUCUCCGUCCACACCCGCAGUGGCGCCCUUGGGCUGCACAGACCAGCAGCCCAGGGAGCUGGUGUCCCACUGACCCAACCAGAAUCUGUCUGGUCAUCAGAAUCACCAGGGAUCUUCUGAAAAAUCCCUUUGCCUGGGCCUCAUUGCAGACCCACGGCAGUUUGGCGCAGGUGAGGGCAAUAAGGAGAAGGCUUUCGUGAGCCUGGAAGUGUGCCCUUCCACUGUUACCAAGCAGAAAAAUACCCCUUAAAAUUGCUUGCCAGAGACAAGGGCACAGGGAGAAACAGGAAGCUCUGUUUAAUUUGGCAACCACCAGGGAAGGGAGAGGUGGGCCUGGACGAAGCCACAGGGAGAUGAGCAGAUGUACCCUAAAGCCCUGAGCAGAAGACAAAGUGAUGGGGAGUCAGUCUGGGAUGCAGUGGUGUCCAGGAGCUGGCCUGGCAGGAAGUCCUUAAAUGUUCUCAUCCAUGAGGCUGGACCUGUGCCCACUGGACAUUCUGGCACCCAAGGCCUGAACAGCAGCAGAGCAACAGGGCCUGGGUUUUACAUCUUCACUCACGCUGUGUCCCAGCACAAGGCCUGGCUGUGCUCAACCAAUACUUGUUGAAUAUUAAAAUAAAAAGCAUAAUGCAGAAG
ensembl:lncRNA